UUGAGAGCAGCGAGGGCAGCUCGCCCCUGCGAGCAGCUCGCCCCGCACUCACCAGCCGCGUCUAUCUCGUCACAACGGGUUUAAUUGUGCAUUGACACCAGCAGGCAGCGAGACGACAGGCAGCCCCAAGGAAGAGAUUUAUCCCCUUGUGCAGGGCAGUUUGAUAAGAGACGUCGGCUCUGCGCGGCCGCACAAUGGCUUUUUUAUUUGUUUGCUUAAUACUGGGCUGUUUCAGAAGCGUGUGCAGCUGAACCGGCAGGAGAUGCGAACAGAGCGCGCUCGUUUGGGAAUUACGGGGGUGGCGAUGAACAGGAAAACAGCCCCUGUCUUCUUCACAGGGAAGUCAGCUGAUAAACUGAUCUGAAGGCAGCGUAUCUUCCUUCCUGUAAAACGCAAUAACAGGCAGAUCUUGUGACCUCGGUGGCCCUCUGCCGCGUUGAUUCCUGGCUGGGGAGGGGAAGGGGGAAGCUUUCCUUGGCAAGCAUCGCACGGGCCCUGCAUGAAUCACACGGCCACGCCGACAGCACCAGCCAACAAAGCCGGCGCAGUGGGCCGCACCGCCCUCGGAGCAGGCCCCUGUGCGGGGAGAUAAGCUGCAGCAGCCCUUUCAUCACACAUCCGCUGUGGCCUUCCCGUCGCAGCCACCGGGCCCAGAGGACGGGCAAAAAGGGAGAGCCAGGGCCUGUGGUGUCCUUGCCUGGUCUGGGCUUUCCUCGUGGCCCUGGGCAGAGGGCACGGAUCAGCAUGCCAUUUGUGCCAUCCUGCUGUGCGUGCUCCUUUUGCCCCAGCUGUUCUCCCUCCCUGCCUUGGCAGCAUGCGACAGAGUAAACAUCAUAAAGAACAUAAAAAGGAGUUUUCCUGAGUUUUCCCUCAAGUUCCCCGGCAACGGAAAGCUUUAGCAGGACUUGUUGACUGUUCUUUGCUCCUGUGAAGGGAUCAAGAACUGCGGACAUUUGGGAUUGCUGGAAGUCAGACUGACCAACUAAAUUUCUCAGUGCUGAUUAGAAAGAUCUGAUUGGCAGAGCUGGAUUAUGCUGUGCAGUAACUGUCAAGACAAGACAGAACAAGUAUCAGCCCUUCAACUUUAAACUGUUUGUUGAGAUCUUUCAUGACAUAAACUUGUUUCA